GCUUGUCUCAAAGAUUAAGCCAUGCAUGUCUAAGUAUAACUCUUUUACUUUGAAAACUGCGAACGGCUCAUUAUAUCAGUUAUAGUUUCUUUGAUAGUCCCUUACUACUUGGAUACCCGUAGUAAUUCUAGAGCUAAUACAUGCAUCAAUACCCAACUGUUCGCGGAAGGGAUGCAGUUAUUAGAUACAAAACCAACCCGGGCAACCGGUCCUUUGGUGAUUCAUGAUAACUUUGCGAAUCGCAUAGCUUUAAUGCUGGCGAUGGGUCAUUCAAAUUUCUGCCCUAUCAACUUUCGACGGUAGGAUAGAGGCCUACUGUGGUGAUAACGGGUAACGAAGAAUAAGGGUUCGAUUUCGGAGAGGGAGCCUGAGAAACGGCUACCACAUCCAAGGAAGGCAGCAGG
rnacentral:rRNA from 1 species